GUAUAACGGAGGACAAGUCCAGAGAGAAAGAUCUAGGGUUUAGUUAAUAUGGCAUAGGUAUUACAUUACACCGCAGUAGCAGCUCUAGCAGGCAGUCAUGUCUAGAAGGGAUGCAUAUUUUAUAUUAGAGAACAGUAACCUAAUUAUGCUAACCUGUUACGUUAAUUCUCCUAGUCUGCUACGAAAAUACAAUUUUAGCAUAAACUGUAUCCCAUCUAGACAAAACCCCAUCAGGGAGAGGAAAAGGGGGGAGCCAGCUCAGCAUGUGAUACCUCCCAACCACUCGAUCUGCCUGUAUCGCGUCGAGGCCAUUCCUCUGCUUCGGAGCCUUUUAUGAAGAGGCGGCACCGAGUGUCAUCCCUUUGGCCCCUUUUGUCCGGCCAGAUGGGGCCUCUCUCUUUCUCUGCAAACAGCUGCUUUCUGCAUGUGUUCACCUCACAAUGGAUAAAAUGACAACAUGCCUCAUUCACCCUGCCGCAACCCUUGUGCUGUUGUGUCUUCCUAGCCUGGAGAAUGACGUCACAAACCUUUCUCUCUUGGUCUAAAAAUCCUCCCAUCCUCCACUCCAUCCAUUUAUCUAAGCAGUCUGGUGUCUAGUGUGCCAUGGUUGACAAAUCCCUGGCCACACACAAAGGUCCCUUUCUAGGACUCUCAGACUUUACAAAGGCAGUUAGGUAUUUACACAAAACCAGAAAACACACUGGGGGAUAUAUUGCCAGUGUGCUAUUGAGAGAUACAGCAUCUUAGAUCACUUCACUUUUGCUACAUAUCCUACCAGCUUUGGAAGUGACCAUGCAGGAUUGGCAAUGCACUAUGACUACACUGACAGAUCAAUGCAAACACCCCAACAAUGUUGUUAGUGGGAGGUUUAAUCUAAUACAGAUGUCAACUUUUACUUGAAAUAGUCCCAUUUCCAUGCUGUGUGUGUGUGUGUGUGGGGGGGGGGGGUGGAUACCUUCUGUUGCAUUGCACUUUGCUCCUAAACCUAUUGUGUAGUUCUCACAUUCCUUCGCAGUUGUCCCACUAACCCUUGACACUCCCAUUGUCCUACAAGUAUAUAAUGAGGCAUAUGAGUCUCAUACAGAAGACUUACUGCUAGGCCAGAUUCUUCUUUGCUUUGGCCAGUUUUAUGUAGAGUUGAUGAGGUGUAGAUAAUUAAACGAUUUUCCACGACAGCCAUUUGAAGCCAUUUUAAUAUUUACAGAUAUAAAUCCUGGAAGAUUUUUUUUUCAAAACACCACCACAAGCACCUACAACUACCCACCAACAUCAUUUACCAGGAACUGCUUUUUCUAGAUUACAGCAAUACCUUUUUAGACCAUUUCCACAAAUGUGUCCCUUUGUCUAGAGCAAUCGGAGUCUGAUAUCUUUGAAAGAAAGUCUUUCCUUAUUUAUCCCCAAUCCUGCCGAUGUCUCCAGUUUCCAAAUGCUUACAAUACUAAGGUUGUGUGGUAGUCAACAGGUAAAUGUGUAAAGACAAGCAAAUGGAAAGCAAAAAAAAUGCUUCUUUUUUUUUCUUCUUCAACAGCCAUCAUCAUCAUCCAGGCAUAAGGCAUAAGAAGUCAGUGUGUUCUUCAAAUUACAGACUGGGACAGUGGUGCUGACAAGUCAUUUGAAUUUAUUCUGACAUGCUAAAAGGGAAUAAAUUACACUUUUAUAGAACGUCCAGCUGUAAAAUAGCUAAUGCUGGGUCAGGGGGAAUAAUGAUGGGGGGGGGGGGGAAUGGGGCAAACUGCCCCUGGUGUACAUCUGUUGUGACUACAGGCUGACUGAAAUCCAAAUGGUACUUGCCUUACAAGACUCAAAGUAUAUAAAAAAAAA